GCAGCCUCUGGUUGUGCAGGAACAGACUAUUGAAAGCAAAAGCUAAAACGUCCAUGGGUGAGAAGACACCAUUUCAGAUCCUUAUAAAGCUUUCACAAAAGUUACUUAAAGAUGAUGAUAAUAUCACUAGUAAAUCAGUAGGAGCCGUGUUUGUUUGACCAUCACACACAUAGUUUCCCUAAAUAAGAUGAACUUCUCACAUGGUGGUUGAAGUGAAAAGGCUAGGUGUCAGUUCAUCAUUAUGAAGGACAGAGAGAAAGAUGCAUCUGAAAUGAUGCAAAAUUCUCAGAAAACAUCAUCUCCUGAUCCCAGCUGUGUGUCUCUGAAGAGUGACAGA